CGGAGGCCGGCGAAACUUACCAAACCAGAGGUACUGACUAGACUCGUCUAGCGAGCGGUGAGGUGACCUCCGGGAAGAAGCGUGGAGACGGGGGAAACCCUAGAGCCACGUUUCACAACCUUGCCUGCCAGUAAGACUCUCUAGGACGAUUGUUAGAAUGCAGGUCCCUGAGCCCUGUCUCUAGAAUUUCCAGAAAAACGGGAAGUCUGUAUUUUAACGAAUGCCUGGGAUCAGGGAAGAAUGGGAAACGGCUCCCGGGGAAGGAAACGCUGGAAGCGGGGGCCGCCGGGCUGAGCGAGCGGUGUCUGGGGCGCGCCUGAGUUCCGAAGGGUUUUGGAAGCUCGAGGGCUGAGGCCACCGAGCCUGGGACCCGCUAAGUGGGAAUGUAGGGGGAAACUAAAUCGGGAAACAGCCCAUCUCCUCGUGCCUGUGGAAGUCCCGGGGGAUGAAAGUCUAGGGGUCCCUUUAGUGACUCCCAGAGCGCCUGUAGGUAACUGUAAGCUGUUCCCGCUGGAACCUGGAGAGAGAUCCUAACCAGCGGAGCCCGAGAUGACAUGUCUAGUGGGAGGAAAUACAGAAAAGACGUUUCUCAAACUUUAGAAAACAAUGAAUCUCAUUUAAAAGAAAAGCAAGGAAACCUCAAAAGUGUUGAUGGAAUUGUUUUUAUUAUUAUGUUCUAAAAUGUAUCCAAAUCCACACUAUUGGAGUCAGUUGAAACUGCUGAUAGUUUAUGAUUUCUCUAAAUAAGGAAACUACAGUACCAAUAAAGUUUAAAGUUUUAUUUUAAC
rnacentral:lncRNA from 1 species